rnacentral:tRNA from 1 species
GUGCUUGUAGCUUAGUGGAUAGAGUGCCUGUUUCCUAAGUUGAAGGUUGCAGGUUCGACCCUACUUGGCGCG